AACAAAAAACUAUGGUUCAUAAUGGUGGCAGUGCACGACAACUAGAAAAAUGCUCUACUACACACAAGAAUGUUGUCCAGAACCAAGAAACUCCUCAUAAUUUCAGUGCUCAGCAAGGGGAAAUAAAUUCUGCUACACAUAAGAACAAAGAAACUUCUCUUGAGAAUGUUAGUGCACGUCAGGGAGAUAAAAAUUCUGCUGCAAACAAACGGGUAUCUUUUCAAAAUCACAUACACAUUUCUGUUCAAACUAUAAUGCUAGCUUGUUUAUUUGUUUAUGACUUCUUCUUUGCUAUGAUACUGUUCUCCAGACCAAAAAAAAACAAAA